ACAGGCAGCGCGAGUGGUAGCCGCGAAGACUGGGCCUAAAGCGUCCGUAGCCGGCUCGGUAAGUCUCUGGGGAAAGCCCACAGCUCAACCGGGGGGAUCGCCAGGGAUACUGUCAGGCUUGGGGCCGGGAGAGGCGAGAGGUACUCCAGGGGUAGGGGUGAAAUCCUAUAAUCCUUGGGGGACCACCUGUGGCGAAGGCGUCUCGCCGGAACGGCUCCGACAGUGAGGAACGAAAGCCGGGGGCGCAAACCG
rnacentral:rRNA from 1 species